rnacentral:rRNA from 1 species
CAGUCGCCACGGGAAUACGAGGGGGGCGAGCGUUGUUCGGAAUUAUUGGGCGUAAAGGGUGCGUAGGCGGUUCAGUAAGUCUUGUGUGAAAUCUUCGGGCUCAACUCGAAGUCUGCAUGAGAAACUGCUGGGCUUGAGUAUGGGAGAGGUGAGUGGAAUUCCCGGUGUAGCGGUGAAAUGCGUAGGUAUCGGGAGGAACACCUGUGGCGAAAGCGGCUCACUGGACCAUAACUGACGCUGAGGCACGAAAGCUAGGGGAGCAAACAGGAUUAGAUACCCGCGUAGUCCCUGUCUCUUAUAA